UGAGGAAUAUUGGUCAAUGGGCGAGAGCCUGAACCAGCCAAGUCGCGUGAAGGAAGACAGUCCUAAGGAUUGUAAACUUCUUUUAUACGGGAAUAACGGGCGAUACGAGUAUUGCAUUGAAUGUACCGUAAGAAUAAGCAUCGGCUAACUCCGUGCCAGCAGCCGCGGUAAUACGGAGGAUGCGAGCGUUAUCCGGAUUUAUUGGGUUUAAAGGGUGCGUAGGUUGUUCGGUAAGUCAGCGGUGAAACCUGAGCGCUCAACGUUCAGCCUGCCGUUGAAACUGCCGGGCUUGAGUUCAGUGGCGGCAGGCGGAAUUCGUGGUGUAGCGGUGAAAUGCAUAGAUAUCACGAGGAACUCCGAUUGCGAAGGCAGAUUGCCAUACUGCGACUGACACUGAAGCACGAAGGCGUGGGUAUCAAACAGG
rnacentral:rRNA from 1 species